rnacentral:rRNA from 1 species
UGGGGAAUAUUGGACAAUGGGCGCAAGCCUGAUCCAGCCAUGCCGCGUGAGUGAUGACGGCCCUAGGGUUGUAAAGCUCUUUCACCGGUGAAGAUAAUGACGGUAACCGGAGAAGAAGCCCCGGCUAACUUCGUGCCAGCAGCCGCGGUAAUACGAAGGGGGCUAGCGUUGUUCGGAAUUACUGGGCGUAAAGCGCACGUAGGCGGAUAUUUAAGUCAGGGGUGAAAUCCCGGGGCUCAACCCCGGAACUGCCUUUGAUACUGGGUAUCUAGAGUCCGAGAGAGGUGAGUGGAAUUCCGAGUGUAGAGGUGAAAUUCGUAGAUAUUCGGAGGAACACCAGUGGCGAAGGCGGCUCACUGGCUCGGUACUGACGCUGAGGUGCGAAAGCGUGGGGAGCAAACAGG